CUCUCCACCUGUGUCCCCUCCCUGCUCUAUAUGGAGAAGGGAUUAAUAUUCAGAGAACCUGGCUAAAGAUUCUGGUUUGCUGACUGAGUUCUCCUCCUCCGAGUGUGUUAAAAAGGAUGACCAAAUGUCUAAAAACCUAUCCUCUUUCUGGAGUUUCUCUUGUAAAGAAGCAGAAUCAUCUAUUACAUGACCUCGGUUCUGGCAGAUAAGGCUCUUUACCAGCCACUGCUUGCAGAAGCUGUGGGCACAAAUUAGGACAAGCACUUGUGGGAAUAACAGCUCCCAACACACCAGACUGCUGAACCCUUUGAGGAAAAACCCCUCCUAAGAAUCCAGCCACAACAAUCCAUUUCCUUCACCGUCCAAGUUCUGGAACACUCCUGAAACCUCUGUGUCAGCAGCUCCAUGGCAACAAGUUCUACUUCAACAGUUUCCUUGUAAUCACUGCAGAACCAUGCACCUCUGGCUUUCAGAACAGCUAAGAUAGGGCACUAAUGUUUAGUGGGGCUCACGUCUCUGAUCACACCCAUCAUGUUCGGCAAUCUCAUAUGUGGUGCUUUCUGGCAAGAAUGUAGAAAUCACAUCAGAUCUUUUUGUAUCUUCUGGUAAGACCCAUAGCAGCAGAGACCAAUGCUUAAAUGUAUGUUUUAAAAAGCCAAAAGAGAGACACUCUUGCUACAGCAUUUCAUGUAGCAUAGCGCACUAAGGAAAUUAGAGUGAAUGACAAAUGGCCAAAGGAACUUAAGGUAACUGAGCCCUUUUGUACAUAGUAGUAUUACAUAUCUA